rnacentral:rRNA from 1 species
UGGGGAAUAUUACACAAUGGGGGAAACCCUGAUGCAGCAACGCCGCGUGCGGGAUGACGGCCUUCGGGUUGUAAACCGCUUUCAGCCAUGACGAAGCUUUUGUGACGGUAGUGGCAGAAGAAGCACCGGCUAACUACGUGCCAGCAGCCGCGGUGAUACGUAGGGUGCGAGCGUUGUCCGGAAUUAUUGGGCGUAAAGAGCUUGUAGGCGGUUUGUCGCGUCGAAAGUGUAAACUCAGUGCUUAACGCUGAGCCUGCUUUCGAUACGGGCUGACUAGAGGAAGGUAGGGGAGAAUGGAAUUCCCGGUGGAGCGGUGGAAUGCGCAGAUAUCGGGAGGAACACCAGUGGCGAAGGCGGUUCUCUGGACCUUUCCUGACGCUGAGAAGCGAAAGCGUGGGUAGCAAACAGG